rnacentral:rRNA from 1 species
UACGUAGGGGGCAAGCGUUGUCCGGAUUUAUUGGGCGUAAAGAGCGUGUAGGCGGCUUUACAGGUCCGUUGUGAAAACUCGAGGCUCAACCUCGAGACGCCGGUGGAAACCGUAAAGCUAGAGUCCGGAAGAGGAGAGUGGAAUUCCUGGUGUAGCGGUGAAAUGCGCAGAUAUCAGGAGGAACACCCGUGGCGAAAGCGGCUCUCUGGGACGGUACUGACGCUGAGACGCGAAAAGCGUGGGGGAGCAAACAGG